CCAUACCAUUCUCAUUACAUGGUAUUAGAGCUAAAGGUUACUUAGCUCACGAGUGUUUUUUGGGUGACCAUUUCCGGCCACCACCAGUUCGGUAUUACCUUCCUGCUCCUAAAACUCGUUCCAGAUCUACUCAAACAACACAUCACUUUUGCCCACUCAAGACGAUCAUCUCACGUUUGUGGAAACCACUUGCAAACAUUUACACUAGUACAACAUGUUAGUUGAUAGAUGACGAUGUGAAGAAA
rnacentral:lncRNA from 1 species